rnacentral:rRNA from 1 species
CCUUCUCAAACAGCGAUGUUUGGUUGUGAGUGAUACUCGGAAGAGUUAGCUUGAAAAUGCUGGCCGGUGGCUGUAGCGGCUGGAGCUUCUUAUCCUGCUACGCAAAGGAGAGCUCUGCUGGACGUCUUCGUACUAGGUUCUGCCAAUUCGAGGACAGCUGGCGGGGGUUUCUGUGGCGGGAGCUACGGGAUGCUCAAUUUAAGGCUGCAGAGAGACAGCAGUGGCGAAGAGUGUUCUUUUAAGU